rnacentral:rRNA from 1 species
GACGAACGCUGGCGGCGUGCUUAACACAUGCAAGUCGAACGGAAAGGCCCUGCUUUUGUGGGGUGCUCGAGUGGCGCACGGGUGAGUCACACGUGAGUACCCUGCCCUUGACUUUGGGAUAACUUCGGGAAACUGGGGCUAAUCCCGGAUAGGAGCUCCUUCUGCUUGGUGUGGGUUGGAAAGUUUCGGCGGUUGGGGAUGGACUGGCGGCUUAUCUGCUUGUUGGUGGGUUAGUGGCUUACCAAGGCUUGGACGGGUAGCCGGCCUGAGAGGGUGACCGGCAACAUUGGGACUGGGAUAGGGCCCAGACUCCUAGGGGAGGAAGAAGGGGGGAAUAUGGACAAAGGGGGGGAAGCCGGAGGCAGCAACGCGGCUGGCGGGAGGAGGGCCUUCGGGUUGUAAACCGCUUCCGCCUGGGACGAAGCGUGAGUGACGGUAAUGGGUAAAGAAGCACCGGCUAACUACGUG